AUAAGAAUUUCAGCUUUGGGUGC
rnacentral:piRNA from 1 species